UAACUGCAGACUGGCUGAACCCCAGUCUGGACUGGGCUAGUAUCUCUUCCAAAGGCUCACUCUCAAGCAUGACUAGGACU
rnacentral:pre_miRNA from 1 species